GUAGGGUGCAAGCGUUAUCCGGAUUUACUGGGUGUAAAGGGCGAGUAGACGGCGAUGCAAGUCAGAUGUGAAAUGCUAGGGAUUAACCUUAGAACUGCAUCUGAAACUGCAUUGCUAGAGUGCAGGAGAGGUAAGCGGAAUUCCUAGUGUAGCGGUGAAAUGCGUAGAUAUUAGGAGGAACAUCAGUGGCGAAGGCGGCUUACUGGACUGUAACUGACGUUGAGGCGCGAAAGCGUGGGGAGCAAA
rnacentral:rRNA from 1 species